rnacentral:rRNA from 1 species
CUUCCGAGUUCCCUGGAACGGGACGCCAUAGAGGGUGAGAGCCCCGUCUGGUUGGACACCAAACCUCUGUAAAGCUCCUUCGACGAGUCGAGUAGUUUGGGAAUGCUGCUCUAAAUGGGAGGUAUAUGUCUUCUAAAGCUAAAUAUUGGCCAGAGACCGAUAGCGCACAAGUAGAGUGAUCGAAAGAUGAAAAGCACUUUGAAAAGAGGGUUAAAUAGUACGUGAAAUUGUUGAAAGGGAAGCGCUUGUGACCAGACUUGAGCCCGGUUAAUCAUCCAGCCUUCUGGCUGGUCCAU